GAUUUCAAAGACCUUAACAAGGCCUGUCCAAAGGACCCUUUCCCUCUCCCUCGCAUCGACCAAAUCAUCGAUGCUACCGUAGGGCACGAUUCAUUAUGCUUCCUCGAUGCAUACUCCGGAUACCAUCAAAUCAAGAUGGCGGAAAAAGACCAGGCCGCAAUGGCAUUCAUUACUCCAUAUGGGCCAUUCUGCUUCAACACAAUGCCCUUCGGACUCAAAAACGCCGGCGCAACAUAUCAGCGCAUGAGUCAGACAUGUCUGGCUACCCAGAUAGGCAAAACAGUAGAGGCAUACGUAGACGAUGUGGUCGUCAAGACCAAACACGUCGAAACUCUAGGUGACAUUUGA
rnacentral:rRNA from 1 species